rnacentral:rRNA from 1 species
CCUACGGGUGGCAGCAGUGGGGAAUAUUGGGCAAUGGAGGAAAGUCUGACCCAGCAACGCCGCGUGAAUGAGGAAGGUAUUCGGUUUGGAAAGUUCUUUUUGUAGGGAAGAAGAAAGUGACGGUACCUUAGGAAUAAGCCUCGGCGAAGUACGUGCCAGCGGCCGCGGUAAUACGUAGGAGGCGAGCGUUAUGAGGAUUGACUGGGUGUAAAGGGUGCGUAGGUGGUUUGGCAAGUUAGUAGGGCAACUCAGGGGCUCAACCUAGGAACUGCUGCUGAAACUGUUAGACUUGAGUGCUGGAGAGGCAACCGGAAUGCCCGGUGUAGCGGUGAAAUGCGUAGAUAUUGGGAGGAACACCAGUGGCGAAGGCGGGUUGCUGGCCUGUCACUGACGCUGAGGCACGAAAGCGUGGGGAGCAAACAGGAUUAGAUACCCGGGUAGUC